rnacentral:tRNA from 1 species
ACGCUAUUAGUAUAAAGAUUACGCUUGACUUCCAAUCAAGAAAUCGUGGCCUUAUCCACGGUAACGUA